rnacentral:rRNA from 1 species
GAUGAACGCUGGCGGCGUGCCUAAUACAUGCAAGUCGAACGCUGGAGAUCUAGCUUGCUAGAUCGAAGGAGUGGCGAACGGGUGAGUAAUACAUAAGCAACCUACCCACGAAGACUGGGAUAAUCUCUGGAAACGGGGACUAAUACCGGAUAGGUAAUCGGAAGGCAUCUUCUGGUUAUUAAAGGUUAAAAACACUGGUGGAUGGGCUUAUGGCGCAUUAGUUAGUUGGUGAGGUAACGGCCCACCAAGACGAUGAUGCGUAGCCGGCCUGAGAGGGUGAACGGCCACAUUGGGACUGAGACACGGCCCAGACUCCUACGGGAGGCAGCAGUAGGGAAUUUUCGGCAAUGGGGGCAACCCUGACCGAGCAACGCCGCGUGAGUGAAGGCGGCCUUCGGGUUGUAAAGCUCUGUUGUAAGGGAAGAACGGUAGAUAGAGAAUAUCUAAGUGACGGUACCUUACCAGAAAGCCACGGCUAACUACGUG